rnacentral:tRNA from 1 species
GGGGUUGUAGCUCAGUGUCAGAGCAUUUGCCUUGCAAGUGUGAGGCACUGGGUUUGAUCCUCAGCACCCCA